rnacentral:rRNA from 1 species
AUUGAACGCUGGCGGCAUGCCUUACACAUGCAAGUCGAACGGUAACGCGGGGCAACCUGGCGACGAGUGGCGAACGGGUGAGUAAUGCAUCGGAACGUGCCCAGUUGUGGGGGAUAACUGCUCGAAAGAGCAGCUAAUACCGCAUACGACCUGAGGGUGAAAGCGGGGGAUCGCAAGACCUCGCGCAAUUGGAGCGGCCGAUGUCGGAUUAGCUAGUUGGUGGGGUAAAGGCCCACCAAGGCGACGAUCCGUAACUGGUCUGAGAGGAUGAUCAGUCACACUGGAACUGAGACACGGUCCAGACUCCUACGGGAGGCAGCAGUGGGGAAUAUUGGACAAUGGGCGAAAGCCCGAUCCAGCCAUGCCGCGUGCGGGAAGAAGGCCUUCGGGUUGUAAACCGCUUUUGUCAGGGAAGAAACGAGUUUCUCUAAUACAGAGACUUAAUGACGGUACCUGAAGAAUAAGCACCGGCUAACUACGUGCCAGCCGCCGCCGUAAUAC